rnacentral:rRNA from 1 species
UAGGGAAUCUUGCGCAAUGGGCGAAAGCCUGACGCAGCCAUGCCGCGUGAAUGAUGAAGGUCUUAGGAUUGUAAAAUUCUUUCACCGGGGAAGAUAAUGACGGUACCCGGAGAAGAAGCUCCGGCUAACUUCGUGCCAGCAGCCGCGGUAAUACGAAGGGGGCUAGCGUUGCUCGGAAUUACUGGGCGUAAAGGGCGCGUAGGCGGACAGUUUAGUCAGAGGUAAAAGCCCAGGGCUCAACCUUGGAACUGCCUUUGAUACUGGCUGUCUUGAGUUCGGGAGAGGUGAGUGGAAUGCCGAGUGUAGAGGUGAAAUUCGUAGAUAUUCGGCGGAACACCAGUGGCGAAGGCGACUCACUGGCCCGAUACUGACGCUGAGGCGCGAAAGCGUGGGGAGCAAACA